CCUAACUGUCCCUGGCAGCUGAGAUUUGCAUUGUCCUAGAAUAGCCCGUUGCUUUCUCCACGCUUCUAGAAAUCAUCCAAGUAGAAGGCAAUUUUCAGAGUGUUAGCUCUAUCCUGAAAGGCUGAUCACAAAUAGGUUGUGUGCCAGCAGAAGUAAGGAGGAGACUGCACACUUGCUUUCAUGAGCUGCACGAACUACUGAAAUAGAGACGUUAGGUGUGCUAUCUGUUGCCUCCUAAGAUACAGCAUUCUUCGUGGGUGGCAGGAAUUGCUUAUCAAAAUAUUAUUGUUCAAUCAAUCUUCUAAGCAGCCUCAGUUUCUACAAGAAUAUGACUCCUCAUUUUAGAAGUUAAAGGAUUUUGCUCAUCAGUUUAAGGUGUAUCGUAUUCUGUGUGAUGGUUGUCCCAGCUAAUCUUAAUCAUCUUCCGUGGAUUAAGAGGUUCCUGGAGAGGUCAUUGGUGGCGCACUAUUCCUCAGUGGGUUAGUCCACUGCUGUUCAUAGCCCAAUGUGCCAUUGGGGUGAGGCCCAGCUGGAGGAGGAGGUCACUGGUGACUGCUGUCCCAUCGGAAGGUCUGUCUCUCCCUGGUGCUCUCCCCUUGAGCUCUGCUUCUUGGACUGUCAUGAAGUAAACAGCUCUGCUCCACCACGUCUUUCUCCCAUGAUGUUUCUACCUUGGAGCCAGCUCAUCAUGGACUGAAACCUUGGAAACCGUGAGC
ensembl:lncRNA